rnacentral:lncRNA from 1 species
CCUACCAUGUGUUUUGGGUGUAAAACAAUUAAAUUCACUUCUAUCAAGGGAAAAAAGUAAAUUUGAUGAUGUGGGAUUGUGACAUCAAAUAUUUUGGUCAUUUAGAAGUAUAGUUCACGUUAAAUGGUGUGGGCUAUCAAUUUGGAUUUUCUAUCAUUCACUGGCCAGGGGGAGUUGGGAAUUUCCCCUGGUAGGAUCUUGAGAGCUCAUGUAAUAGAUAAUUGUCUGUGGAGAUUUGCCCACCU